UGUAGGUCUCUGUUGCUCUUUCCCUUGUAGUUUUUGGCCCAUCAGAGCAUCUUUAGUCCUAAGCUUAUGGACGACAUAUUAAGGCAAAGACUUGGAGAAUUACUUGUCCUCUUCGGUUAUUUUAUGGUUCUGUUAGUUUGUCCCUCCCUUCGCUUCUCGGAGGCAGUGGCUCCUCUGCUGAAACUCCCCCUGAUUCACGGGGCGAUUGUGAAGAGCAAGUAGAAACCUCCCUGGUCCCUCAGCCGUGAAAUAAAGAUGGAAAGGCUAAUGCCCUGUGGUCCCGAAUGGGGGUCCGCUGGGCUGGAGAUGCAGGGAUGCAGGCUUAUGCCUCAACCUCGUUGUUGUGGAUCAAAUUGUGCCACCACCACCCCCAACCCCCCAGAGAUAUGCUGAAGUCCUGACCCCUCGUACCUGGGGACAGGACCUAAUUUGGAAAUAGGAUCUUUGCAGAUCUAUCUAAUCAGGUUAAGAUGAAGUCAUGGUGGAUUGGAAGAGCCAAAUCCAAUGGCCGGCGUCCUCAUAAGAUAGGCCAUCUGAAGACACGGGGACACACAGACACAGGGGAGAAUGUCAUGGGAAGACAGAGGCAGAAAUUGGAGUGACGCCAAUUUCCAGAAGCCAAGGAAUACCAGGGAUUGCUGGCAACCACCAGAAGCUAAGUGAGAGAGGCAUGGAAGAGAUUCUCUCUCAGAACCUCCAGAAGGAGUCAAUUUUGGACUUGGAGCCUCCAGAACUAUGAGAGAAGAGAUUUCUGUUGUGUGAGCCACCCAGUUUGUUGUACUGUGUUAGACGGCCCUCGAAAACCAACAUACCCCCUCUUGGUUCCGAGUCCCGAGCCCCUCAGGAGCUCCUCUUCAAAGACAGAUCCACUCACUUUUGUCAGCAGACGUUCUGGGAUGUUAGUUCCUUACCAAUUUUUUAAUAUCUGGGGAGAUCUUACGUCCUCUCACAUUCUGUUGUCCUUGAGAGUUUAGUUUUCUCUUUUUAUUAAAGAAAUACAACUUCAUUAUUUUGAA